UACAGUGGCUGCUGAGUCAGGACAAGGAUGCUGAGGAUGUGGUGGACAAGGAUGACCUGAAUACACAGAAGGACAGCACCACCAUUGAUAUUGAAUUGGCCCAGCAACAGCACCAGUCCGGCCCGCAGGAGCCCCAGUCCAGGAUGACCCAUCCACUCCCCUGACCCAUAGCUCAUCAUACUUGAUAUCCGGAAAAAUGGGGCCUAAUGCAUGUGCUUAAAUUGUUGUCACAGAUUAGCCGUGCAGUCCACACAGGCUAAUCAUGGAUAACACUCCUCUUAAAGCAGAGCACCAGCAUUGAUAUCGAGUUGGCCCAGAAACCACACCAGUCACGCCUGCAGGAGCCCCAGUCCAGAACGACCCUUCCCCUGCCUUGACUUUUAACUACUCCCCCUUGACCUCCUGCCUCAAAAAGUCAGCAUCGUUGAACAACUCCGUUCUGCAGGAAAUUCUGAGCAUGAAUCUGUUCUGAACAAACGCAAUGCCCACGUUACGUUUUCCAAACAUAAGCCUGGGUAGUUUUAUUAAGCUGGAGUUGCGCGUGGGCCUGAAAGGGACUAGUGUUACAGACACGAAAAGUUAUAGCAGUAGUUAUGGUAACGCUAACAGUCAGUUGUUGCUGUUGGACAUCACAACAAAUAUCAUGAAGAAUAAAAAGUUCAAUAACUCAUUCCAAUCUUUAUGAGACAAACAGAAAUUGAACGGGAGAAAAUCAAAGAACAAUAAAAGCGUAAGCUUUCCUAGUGGGAUACUUUUGCUGUUGAAAGUUUGGACAACAGUAGGGUUGCGGACUGCCCCAGAUUGUCCUCUCAGCGGCAAAAAUAUCAUAAUAGAACGGACUUUUGGCAAUGUUACUGACAAAGAAAGGCAAUAAUGACUUGGUUGUCAAUACCCAGAGCAAGAUACAUCCAUGCUGACAAAGAAAGGCAGUAAUGACUUGGUUGUGAACACCCAGAGCGCGAUACAUCCAUGCUGACACAGUAAGGCAGUAAUGACUUGGUUGUGAACACUCAGAGCACAAUACAUCCGUGCUGACACAGAAAGGCAGUAAUAACUUGGUUGUGAACACCCAGAGCACAAUACAUACAUGCUGACACAGAAAGGAAGUAAUGACUUGGUUGUGAACACUCAGAGCACGAUACAUCCAUGCUGACACAGAAAGGCAGUAUGACUUGGCUGUGAACACAGAACACAAUACACCCAUGCUGACACAGAAAGGCAGUAAUGACUUGGUUGUGAACACCCAAAGCAAGAUAUUUCCAUGCUGACACAGAAAGGCAGUAAUGACUAUGCUGUGAACACCUUGAGCAAGAUAUAUCCUUGCUAACACAGAAAGGCAGUAAUGACUAUGCUGUGAACACCCGGAGCAUAAUACAUCCAUGCUGACACAGAAAGGCAGUAAUGACUAUGUUGUGAACACCCAGAGCAAGAUAUAUACAUGCUGACACAGAAAGGCAGUAAUGAUUAUGCUGUCUAAACCCACAGAAAGAUAUAUCCAUGCUGACACAGAAAAGCAGUAAUGACUAUGCAGUGAACACCCAGAGCAAGAUAUAUCCAUGCUGACACAGAAAGGCAGUAAUGACUUGGUUUUGAACAACCAGAGCAAGAUAUAUCCAUGCUGACACAGAAAGGCAGUAAUGACUUGGCUGUGAACACAGAACCCGAUACACCCAUGCUGACACAGAAAAGGCAGUAAUGACUUGGCAGUAAACACAGAACACAAUACACCCAUGCUGACACAGAAAGGCAGUAAUGACUUUGCUGUGAACACAGAGCACAAUACAUCCAUGCUGACACAAAAAGGCAGUAAUGACUUGGCUGUGAGCACAGAACACCAUACAUCCAUGCUGAUACAAAAAGGCAGUAAUGACAUGGCUGUGAACACAGAGCACAAUACAUCCAUGCUGACACAGAAAGGCAGUUAUGACUUGGUUGUGAACACAGAGCACAAUACAUCGUUGUUGACACAGAAAGGCAGUAAUGACUUGGCUGUGAACACAGAGCACAAUACAUCCAUGCUGACACAGAAAGGCAGUUAUGACUUGGUUGUGAACACAGAGCACAAUACAUCCUUGUUGACACAGAAAGGCAGUUAUGACUUUGCUGUGAACUCAGAGCACGAUACAUCCAUGCUGACACAGAAAGGCAGUAAUGACUAUGCUGCAAACACCCAGAGCACAAUACAUCCAUGCUGAAACAGAAAGGCAGUCAUGACUAUGCAGUGAACACCCAGAGCAAGAUAUAUCCAUGCUGACACAGAAAGGAAGUAAUGACUAUGCUGUGAACACCCAGAGCAAGAUAUAUCCAAUGUGACACAGAAAGGCAGUAAUGACUAUGCCAUGAACACCCAGAACACAAUACAUCCAUGCUGAAACAGAAAGUCAGUAAUGACUUGGUUGUGAACUCAGAGCACAAUACAUCCAUGCUGACACAGAAAGGCAGUAAUGACUUUGCUGUGAACUCAGAGCACGAUACAUCCAUGCUGACACAGAAAGGCAGUAAUGACUUGGAUGUAAACACCCAGAGCACAAUACAUCCAUGAUUACACAGAAAGGCAGUAAAGACUUGGUUGUAAACACCCAGAGCACAAUACAUCCAUGCUGACACAGAAAGGCAGUAAAGACUUUGUUGUAAACACUAAGAUAUCCAUACAUCCAUGGGGUGUGCCACAGACGCAAAUUACGCCCACCAUUUUGAACAAGGUGCUUAAAGUGAACACGUCUGGUUUUGUUAUGAGCACUUAGCACUCCGAGCCUAAAAGGCCUCACAUUGAAUUGAUGCAAGAGAAGGCUUUGAAAAAUAACAGCAGUUUUGUUGUGUGGUCCAGUACACCCUUCGACUCGCAACCUGAAGAAAGCAGAACUCAAACUCGUCUCUUAGCAAUAUCAGCAAGGCCAUCAUGUCAAUCUCAGCCUCUAGAGCUUCAGUGAACUUAACUAGCAAACAUGACAAACGUCAUUGAAGUGAAAGUCGAUGACAACCCCCUUCUUGCACAAAUACUACAACUCGCUUAAGAAAUUCAGCAUGAAGACGUCUUGCGUCAGACUACCAAGCCUCCUAUCAAUAUCUCCUCCCAUGUUGGCUACAUCAACACUUCCAACAGCAGAGCCUUGGUGAGUUUGACUUCCGUCUUAGCAUCGAUGUCGCUUAGCAACAAUUGGAUGAUGGGCGUCGACAAAUUAUGCCGGACAAGUCGCUCGAACUGAAACUAUCUGAUCCAACAGGUAGAGCAGGCGUUGCGUGACAUGUCCAUUAAUGUGACUACUCUAUAUGUUGUUCUCGAAUAAUGUGAACCUUAGGCCUGGAGAGCAGUAUGCGAUUGACGCCAUUCAACAACAGUUGUCGGCAAUUCUCGGGUUUGGGGUGGCGACUUCGGCGUCGGAACUCGCUCCAUCUCUGUCUAAGGCCCAGUCGCAGCAGCAGCAGCAGCAACAAGAACAAUAAAGCCGGUUCCUACAGGAUCCCAUGCAAUAGAUUGGUACCCAGCUGAACAACAGGCUUUCGGGUAAGCUGGGCCCGGAUAGGUGCAGCCAGUCUAAAGCUGGGGCUUCAAACUUUCCUGCCAAGUGGGCUGAUAUUACCUCUUCUACAAGGGACAUAUGUCAGUGAUGUGCAAAGAGCUGGUUUUCUGUUCACAGAGAAAUAUCCUAACAACUCCAACUCAGCCACUACAUCUCAACAGGUAAGUCCCCUAACCAUU